UGAGAAGGUGCAUCAGUGGAUGGGUGUCAUGGCACCUGAGGCCUGAACUUGGGGUGACUCUCCUUUCUUGUUGGUCUGAAUAAGGCAGAAACCAACUCCAUUUCCAUAUUUCCUUUCUUUGAAUUCCCAGUAUUCCCCUCACCCCAGAUAGCUGUAUUCUUUAAGACUGGGACAGCCCUGGGAGUAGGGGCUGCCCUGUUGUCCCUGCCCCACCUUCCAGGGCAGAGAAUUUUACUAGACAUUUCUUGCAGAUGCUGUCUCUGAAUUUGAGUCGGAGUUUCCUGACCCUUUGCAAGCUGCAUUUUAGAAUCAGAGGAAAGAACCUGCCUGUCUUCUGUGAUCUGCUGCCAUUGCACACACCCCUGUGACGUUCUCCUAUUGCCUCAUUAGAUGUUUACACCUGUGCCUCCCCCAGGUAGGACUGGGGUGGGGUUGAAUGAGAGCUCCAUAGGUCUUUUAAUGGUGUCCCCAAGGCCAGCCUCAGGGCUUCAACACAGUGAGCUCUCAGGAAUGGCUGCAUUUUAUUCUGACUGUGUUUCCAGAAUCCCAGUCCUCUCUCUCUCACUGACCCCGAAGAUAAGCAUUGGAAAGGGGAGCUUUGGGGAAAUGAAUCUGCCCUGUCAUCUGCGUAUAGAGCUAAUCUUAAAUCCCAACUGCCAAAUGGAUCCUGAGGUGUCAGAAACUCUCCCGAGAUAAGGGGGCUUCUAGCAACCAUCUGCAUUCUGGACCCAGAGAGAAGGUGUGGGUGGACAAAGCAAAGCAGAGCCCUGACCUCACACCAGCUGGCUGAGCUGUCUUGGCUUGCAUUUGCUGUUCCAGCAUUUGUGGAGUUUGAAAUCUGCAUGCUUGGAGUGCGGAGAGCUGGAUCUUGCACCACAGUCUCCCUGUGGGCUCUUGAAUGAGAAAACCAGGGGAAGCAGAGGUAAGAACCUGUUCAAGAAGGCACAUCUCAGAUGUGGAAGAACCAUGAUUCAACUCGAGUCUGUCUGCUUCCCAAGACUGUGGUAUUUAAACAGCUUAUAAUGAAAAUUCCUUCUAUAGCUCCCCAUAAAAGGGCACACAGUUCUUUCUUAACGUAUUAUUUCAGGCAUUCAUUCACCAUUGAUGUAUUUGUGAAGGUGUUCUCUCUAAAUAAACUAUUGGGACCUUACUUGACUGUGA
rnacentral:lncRNA from 1 species